rnacentral:rRNA from 1 species
UACGGAGGGUGCGAGCGUUGUCCGGAAUCACUGGGCGUAAAGGGCGCGUAGGCGGCCUGAUAAGUAGGGGGGUGAAAUCCUGCGGCUUAACCGCAGGGCUGCCUUCUAAACUGUCAGGCUGGAGCACGGUAGAGGCGAGUGGAAUUCCCGGUGUAGUGGUGAAAUGCGUAGAGAUCGGGAGGAACACCAGUGGCGAAGGCGGCUCGCUGGGCCGGACCUGACGCUGAGGCGCGAAGGCGUGGGGAGCGAACGGGG